ensembl:lncRNA novel transcript
GACACAAAAACUGCGGAAGGCCGCAGGGACCUCUGCCUAGGAAAGCCAGGGUGAAGGUACGCUCGAGCGUGGUCAUUGAGGACAAGUCGACGAGAGAUCCCGAGUACGUCUACAGUCAGCCUUACGGAGAAAAUCAGCUUCCUGUUUGGAUACCCACUAGACCUUUGAAGUUCUACAAUGAACCCAUCAGAGAUGCAAAGAAAAGCACCUCCGCGGAGACGGAGACACCGCAAUCGAGCACCGUUGACUCACAAGAUGAACAAAAUGGUGACGUCAGAAGAACAGAUGAAGUUGCCAUCCACCAAGAAGGCAGAGCCGCCGACUUGGGCACAACUAAAGAAGCUGACGCAGUUAGCUACAAAAUAUCUAGAGAACACAAAGGUGACACAAACCCCAGAGAGUAUGCUGCUUGCAGCCUUGAUGAUUGUAUCAAUGGUGUCUGCAGGUGUACCCAACAGCUCCGAAGAGACAGCGACCAUCGAGAACGGGCCAUGAUGACGAUGGCGGUUUUGUCGAAAAGAAAAGGGGGAAAUGUGGGGAAAAGCAAGAGAGAUCAGAUUGUUACUGUGUCUGUGUAGAAAGAAGUAGACAUAGGAGACUCCAUUUUGUUAUGUACUAAGAAAAAUUCUUCUGCCUUGAGAUUCUGUGACCUUACCCCCAACCCCGUGCUCUCUGAAAUGUGUGCUGUGUCAACUCAGAGUUAAAUGGAUUAAGGGCGGUGCAGGAUGUGCUUUGUUAAACAGAUGCUUGAAGGCAGCAUGCUCCUUAAGAGUCAUCACCACUCCCUAAUCUCAAGUACCCAGGGACACAAAAACUGCGGAAGGCCGCAGGGACCUCUGCCUAGGAAAGCCAGGUAUUGUCCAAGGUUUCUCCCCAUGUGAUAGUCUGAAAUAUGGCCUCGUGGGAAGGGAAAGACCUGACCGUCCCCCAGCCCGACACCCGUAAAGGGUCUGUGCUGAGGAGGAUUAGUAAAAGAGGAAGGAAUGCCUCUUGCAGUUGAGACAAGAGGAAGGCAUCUGUCUCCUGCCUGUCCCUGGGCAAUGGAAUGUCUCGGUAUAAAACCUGAUUGUAUGCUCCAUCUACUGAGAUAGGGAAAAACCGCCUUAGGGCUGGAGGUGGGACCUGCGGGCAGCAAUACUGCUUUGUAAAGCACUGAGAUGUUUAUGUGUAUGCAUAUCUAAAAGCACAGCACUUAAUCCUUUACAUUGUCUAUGAUGCCAAGACCUUUGUUCACGUGUUUGUCUGCUGACCCUCUCCCCACAAUUGUCUUGUGACCCUGACACAUCCCCCUCUUUGAGAAACACCCACAGAUGAUCAAUAAAUACGAAGGGAACUCAGAGGCUGGCGGGAUCCUCCAUAUGCUGAACGCUGGUUCCCCGGGUCCCCUUAUUUCUUUCUCUA